GACGAACGCUGGCGGCGUGCCUAACACAUGUAAGUCGCACGGGGACCGGGGGCGAACUCCGGUUCAGUGGCAGACGGGUGCGUAACACGUGAAGAACCUGUCCAACGGCGGGGGAGUAGCCGGCCCAACGGCCGGGUAAUACCGCAUACGAUCGUUCGGGGGCGAUCCCUGGGCGAUGAAAGCAGCCGCAAGGUUGCGCCGAUGGAGGGCUUCGCGGCCUAUCAGCUAGUUGGCGGGGUAACGGCCCACCAAGGCAACGACGGGUAGCUGGUCUGAGAGGAUGGCCAGCCACAUUGGGACUGAGACACGGCCCAGACUCCUACGGGAGGCAGCAGUGGGGAA
rnacentral:rRNA from 1 species